CCUACGGGGGGCAGCAGUGAGGAAUAUUGGUCAAUGGGCGAGAGCCUGAACCAGCCAAGUAGCGUGCAGGAUGACGGCCCUAUGGGUUGUAAACUGCUUUUAUAUGGGAAUAAAGUGAGGGACGUGUCCCUUAUUGCAUGUACCAUACGAAUAAGGACCGGCUAAUUCCGUGCCAGCAGCCGCGGUAAUACGGAAGGUCCAGGCGUUAUCCGGAUUUAUUGGGUUUAAAGGGAGCGUAGGCUGUUUGUUAAGCGUGUUGUGAAAUGUAAGAGCUCAACUUUUAGAUUGCAGCGCGAACUGGCAGACUUGAGUGCGCACAACGUAGGCGGAAUUCAUGGUGUAGCGGUGAAAUGCUUAGAUAUCAUGACGAACUCCGAUUGCGAAGGCAGCUUACGGGAGCGC
rnacentral:rRNA from 1 species